UACAGAGGUGGCAAGCGUUGUUCGGAAUUACUGGGCGUAAAGGGCGAGUAGGCGGCCUUCUAAGUCAGACGUGAAAUCCCCCGGCUUAACCUGGGAACUGCGUCUGAUACUGGGAGGCUAGAGUAUGGGAGAGGGAUGUAGAAUUCCAGGUGUAGCGGUGAAAUGCGUAGAUAUCUGGAGGGAUACCGGUGGCGAAGGCGGCAUCCUGGACCAUUACUGACGCUGAAUCGCGAAAGCUAGGGGAGCAAACGGG
rnacentral:rRNA from 1 species